CCCCAUGGCAUGUGGAUGUUUCCAGACUACGGGAAUCAGAGCUGCAGCAGCCACAGCAACGCAGGAUCCGAGCUGCCUCUGUGACCUACACCAGAGCUCAUGGCAACACCGGAUCCUUAACCCACUGAACAAGGCCAGGGAUCGAACCUGGGUUCUUGUAGAUGCUAGUCAGAUUCGUUUCCACCGGGCCACUACAGGAACCCCCUAAAAUACAUUCUUAAUGUUUUUUUCCCACAAAGGCAGAAGUGGCCAGGGCCUCCGAAAGUCACAAAGUGACCCUGGCCACUCAGCACACAUCCUGGGUGUGAGCCCUAUCGGACUCUCAUUCUUAAAUCAACCUAAACAAUUCUGACACCCCACCUAGACAAGGCCCCUCUUGACAAUGUAUUGUACAUUUCUUUGGCUCUUCAGAUAUUUACUAUCUGAAUGCGGAGAAUUCUGCAUUUUUUUCAUUGGUUUGUUUAUACUAUCCCCAAAGGCAUUCAACCCUUACAUAGUUAAAACACCAUCUAAUUGAUAAAAAUUUGGAAAGUCAAUUUAUAAAGGAAGCUUUUCAAAGGGAAGAUAUGCACAGAAAAAUAGCGUUAGUCAUCAGAGACAUGAACACUGAAACCACAGUGAGACGGGAUUUCAUGCCCUGUACGGGCGUAUGAUGGGCAUGUUAAAUGACAACGCCUGGUGCUGGUGGGGGUGGGGACAACCGGGAGGGACUCCUAUGGGAGCGUCGCCCUGUGGGGGUGCAGCCACUUGAGAAGAAAGUGUUGACAGGUUCAUAGUGACCCUGUGACCCAACAAUUCCACUCCUGGCUACUUAUCCCAGAGAAAUGAAAAUAUGUGUCCACAAACAGAUUGAGAGAAGGCUCUAAGCAGCUUCAUUCGUAAUAGCCCCAAAUGGGCAACAACCUAAAAUACUCAUCCAUAGAAAAUCGAUAACCAAGCCUGAAUUAACCAAAAAAAAUUACGCUGUGCAGAUGGGCAACAGGCCUAUGAAAAGAUGGUCAACGUUGCUAAUUAUUAGAGAAAUGCAAAUUAAAACUACCAUGAGGUAUCACCUCGCCCUGAUUAUGUUGCCAGAAUUCGGCCUCUGAAACAAACCGAAAUGCAGAGACAGAGUUUUGGGUAAAGGAGAAAAAAAUAGCUUUAUUGCUUUGCCAAGCAAAGGAGGGUCACAGCAGGCUAACGCUUUAAAGACUGCCCCCCCCCCAAAAGAAUUGCGAGGAAUUUUAUAGUAAAAAGGAGAAAAACAUGUUUGCAGAUAGGAAUCGGGAUUGGGACAAGCAUGCAUUCCUCUUCCUUCAAAGCUGGAGUCAGAAACAUGAUCCCGCUGGGGGUCUCUGGGUUAUUGCCGGGAACAACAGAACUUGCGCAAAGGGCAUACUGAUCAGAGGUUAGAACAAUCUAGAAAGCUUCCUGAAAACAUCACGCACUAAUAAUCCUUCAUCCACAGGCAAUGAUGCUGGGGGUGCCUAAUCUUUAGCUUGUGGGUGAUUGUGUUUAGGGUGUAACCAAGUCAGGGAGAAGGACAAGGAAGGACGCUAAGCUGUUCAAAGCAUUCAUUUCAAAAAGAAGCGUAAGGACUAUAACUUUUCUCUCAGGGUGUGAGGCACCUGUAUCAGUUAGAGUGGCCUUCAUUUAAAAGUCUACAAAUAGCAAAUGCUGGAGAGGGUGUAGAGAAAAGGAACCCUCCUACACUCUUAGUGGGAAUGUAAGUUGGUACAUACACUAUGGAAAACAGGACUGGAUGUUCUUCGAAAAACUAAAACUGGGAGUUCCCGUCAGUUUCCACUGUAGCACAUUUGGUUGCUGAUCCGCUUGUUUCUGUGGAGGUGCCAGUUCAAUCCCCGGCCCAGUGCAGUGAGUUAAGGAUCCAGUGUUGCUACAGCUGUGGUGGAGACUGCAGCUGAGGCUCAGCAGCAAUCCCUGGCCCAGGAACUUCCAAACGCCCUGGGUGCAUCCAAGAAAGAAAAAACAAAACUGUCUGACUCCCCAGUGAGUCUGGGAGCCGGAGAGCGCAGGGACCCUCCCGCUUGCUGUCCAGGCCGGUGCUUGGCACAUGACAGACCCUGGGACAUUUUGAAUGUCCAGAUGAAUGAACAAACAUGUGACAGCAACUUGAAGAAUGAUAUACGCUCGAUACAUGUUAACGUCCUUCUUUCUAGCCUCCAGCAUAUAUUUGCUUUUAGUUUCUCUUCGUUGCAGUGUAUAGUUUGAUCAACAAAAGAAAUUAAAACUAUAGUAAAGUCUUACCCCAACAACUGAAAACAGCAUAAUAUCUGUGUACUAUUUACACAGCCUGGAGGAGCCACAAAUGCCUAAGAAAUUGCCCUCCAAAUUAGGAAAAUCUUAAUUUUCUAGACAGACAAGUGAAAAGAUGAUUAUUUUCUGAAGAUGCCUUGCAAUCAGCUGUUGUCUUACAAGUGUUUGUAGUUGCUGGCCAGGUCAGUCUUCUGUGAGUCCCUAAAAACCCACUGCUGCUCCUGAAAGGCAAUCCAAGGCCAUAUGGAAAUGAAGCCACUUCAUAAUUGCUAAAUGGUUGGUAUGGACUGGUCCUAGUUCAUUUGAAGGUUUUUAUUUCUACAUCAUUAUCGUUACAUA
rnacentral:lncRNA from 1 species